UGGGGGGGGGGGGUGACGGUGCAGGCCAAGAGUUCAAGUUCUGACCAAACGAAAGAUAUCCACACCUUCCGAGGACUACAGAGGCGUCACGGGCCAUGUGGAUCGAAGGACAUUUUGCAUAAAGAGGAUCCUAGAUAAUCUGUGGAAGUCACUGAAGGUGUUCGGGUCAUGACUGUUUGUAUCACGCCGGGCUGCACUAGACGUCUCUGUCUAUUUGUGUUUGUUUUUGUAAGUGUGCGCCUCUCUGAACGGUUUGGACUGAAGAAUGUAGCAGAUUCCCGCAGACCGUGUCUUCAUCAGGAUCAACAGGUUGUCCGCGAUGGUACCUGGGCAUCUACGUCCGCCCUCCGACAGUUCGAAACCCGCUCGUUCUCCCGCUCGCCCGCCUGCCUGUGAGCUCUUGGACCGGACUCCGUAAAGAGGCCGUGAUGGAGCCGUGAAAACAGACGCAGCAGAACCUGGGCUCAAAGGGACCCGCUACCUCGCCGCCGCCUCCACCACCGCUCCACCGUUGCUCCUGCUCUCUGCCGCCUCCUCCGCCCUCUCUACGCCGCGCCAGACAAAGGACUCAGGAGUGCCUCGGAGCGAAGGAACUCGGGCACGUUGGGAGCCCCGCGAGGCAUGAGGCCGGGGUCGUGGGGUGACGCCUCUUGCCGAUGGACAGAGCUCGGCUCGGCGUGAAUGGCGGCGUCCACUGUAAGUGGGAAUUGCUGAAGUACCGAAGGAUGUGAUUUACCAGACCUUCAAUCCACGCACUGAAAAUUACGGAUGAUGAUUAUUGGAAGCUGCAGUCUCGUCUAUAAAAGAGGGUUGAACGUCCUUCCAUGUGAGAGGAGCCAGAGGGGAUGACGAAACACCCCGCCCAUUCUUCAUGGAGCCGACGAGCAUGGAUGGGCGUCUUCAGUGUAUGCCGGUUUUUCACAAAGGACGCGGGGCCACACCUCCUGACGGCUGAAGAACGCAGAACGCAUCGCCUCCCACGACCCCAGGCACGCACACAUCUGCCGUGGCUGUGUGAGGGAAGUGCUCUUGGACGGGCUGGAGGUUGCAGAGUUCCAAGGUACAAGAAGAACCGAGAAGAGGGAGACAGGAAAGACGGAAUAUAGU